rnacentral:rRNA from 1 species
UACGGAGGGUGCGAGCGUUGUCCGGAAUCACUGGGCGUAAAGGGCGCGUAGGCGGCCCGUCAAGCGUGUGGUGAAAGCCCGGGGCUCAACCCCGGGUCGGCCGUGCGGACUGGCGGGCUCGAGCACUGUAGGGGAGACUGGAAUUCCUGGUGUAGCGGUGAAAUGCGCAGAUAUCAGGAGGAACACCGAUGGCGAAGGCAGGUCUCUGGGCAUUAACUGACGCUGAGGAGCGAAAGCAUGGGGAGCGAACAGG